UACGGAGGGGGCGAGCGUUGUCCGGAAUCAUUGGGCGUAAAGGGCGCGUAGGUGGCCCGGUCAGUCAGGGGUGAAAGCGCGGGGCUCAACUCCGCGUCGGCCAUUGAUACUGCUGGGCUGGAGCACUGUAGAGGCAGGCGGAAUUCCGGGUGUAGCGGUGGAAUGCGUAGAGAUCCGGAAGAACACCGGUGGCGAAGGCGGCCUGCUGGGCAGUUGCUGACACUGAGGCGCGACAGCGUGGGGAGCAAACAGG
rnacentral:rRNA from 1 species